rnacentral:rRNA from 1 species
CGGCGACGGGUGAGUAACGCGUGAGCAACCUGUCCCUUACGAGGGGGAUAACACAGCGAAAGUUGUACUAAUACCGCAUGAGACCACAGUGAGACAUCUCACGAGGGGUCAAAAGGAGCAAUCCGGUAAGGGGUGGGCUCGCGUCCGAUUAGAUAGUUGGUGAGGUAACGGCCCACCAAGUCGACGAUCGGUAGCCGACCUGAGAGGGUGAUCGGCCACAUUGGGACUGAGACACGGCCCAAACUCCUACGGGAGGCAGCAGGUGGGGAAUAUUGGGCAAAUGGGGGAAACCCUGACCCAGCAACGCCGCGCGAGGGAAGAAGGUUUUCGGAUCGUAAACCUCUGUCCUUGGUGAAGAGGAAGAGACGGUAGCCAAGGAGGAAGCCCCGGCUAACUACGUGCCAGCCGCGGC